UACGAAGGGGGCUAGCGUUGCUCGGAAUCACUGGGCGUAAAGCGCACGUAGGCGGACUCUUAAGUCGGUGGUGAAAUCCUGGAGCUCAACUCCAGAACUGCCUUCGAUACUGAGAGUCUCGAGUCCGAGAGAGGUGAGUGGAACUGCGAGUGUAGAGGUGAAUUCGUAGAUAUUCGCAAGAACACCAGUGGCGAAGGCGGCUCACUGGCUCGGUACUGACGCUGAGGUGCGAAAGCGUGGGAGCAACAGG
rnacentral:rRNA from 1 species